AUGUGAUUGUACAUCAGGCAGUGUGUGGGAACGGAGCUAUGACUAAUGGCUGCUUUACAUAUAAAUGAGAAGGUUUGUGCUAGGAACUGUAAAAAAAUACAAUCACUCAGCUGACGGGCAGGGCUCCUUAUCGUGGGUGCAGGAGAGGGACUACAGGAAGGGUAGACAUCUGAGUGCCUUCCCCAGAAAAGCUGAGCAAGGUGGAGUAAGAUUCCGGAGGUAGGGGGUGGGGUGGGGGUGGGGGAGAGCCUGGGAGACGGUGGGAGCUGGCUUUGCCAUGUGUCAAGCUCUCCUUGAACCUGGCCACAAUCUAUCACUGCACUCGCGUUUCCAUAGAGUUGGGCAAGAAGGGGAUAUUUUCUGGGAAGGCGGUUUCCCAGGACUCCACAGAGGCCUGGGAGGCUCCCUCAGAACCUAGACGAUAUCCACACUGGAGCACCUGCAUUCCCACACUCCUCCAGAAGGCGAUGAUACCAGGGCUGAGUUCAUCAGGACUUGACUUUGGCUGGCGGAAGGCUUAGAACUCUCCACUAGGCCAUCUAGCUGCCUGAAUAUUCACCUGAUUCCUAUUUUCUGGAAUAACUCAACCCAGACCAUAGGCCAGAUACCACUUCCUCAUCACCUGGUCUAACAGAUGGAGAGAUCAAGACACAGAGAAGGUCCCUGUUCAAAGUCGAAUAGGUGAACUGCAGAAUCCAAACUUGCACUUUGGAAUCUAUUCUCCCAGAGAAUUCCGACCGCCUGCUUGCUUGAAGAUCUGCUUUGUCAGUUAUGUAGUAAUAGAUAAAAGAACCAUCUGUGGAGCAUUUUGCUCUUUGGUGGGGGAAAAUGAGGAAAUUCCACAGUCAAGCUUGAUUCCUAUUUGCCCCACCAUCCACUCCUCUGGUUUGUUUGGUUCACUGGAAGGAACUUUGCCAUUUCCCAUCUGAUUCUCU
rnacentral:lncRNA from 1 species